CAUGCNAGUCGAACGGCAGCACGGGGGCAACCCUGGUGGCGAGUGGCGAACGGGUGAGUAAUACAUCGGAACGUGCCCUGUAGUGGGGGAUAACUAGUCGAAAGAUUAGCUAAUACCGCAUACGACCUGAGGGUGAAAGCGGGGGACCGUAAGGCCUCGCGCUACAGGAGCGGCCGAUGUCUGAUUAGCUAGUUGGUGGGGUAAAAGCCUACCAAGGCGACGAUCAGUAGCUGGUCUGAGAGGACGAUCAGCCACACUGGGACUGAGACACGGCCCAGACUCCUACGGGAGGCAGCAGUGGGGAAUUUUGGACAAUGGGGGCAACCCUGAUCCAGCAAUGCCGCGUGUGUGAAGAAGGCCUUCGGGUUGUAAAGCACUUUUGUCCGGAAAGAAAUGGCUCUGGUUAAUACCUGGGGUCGAUGACGGUACCGGAAGAAUAAGCACCGGCUAACUACGUGCCAGCAGCCGCGGUAAUACGUAGGGUGCGAGCGUUAAUCGGAAUUACUGGGCGUAAAGCGUGCGCAGGCGGUUUUGUAAGACAGGCGUGAAAUCCCCGAGCUCAACUUGGGAAUGGCGCUUGUGACUGCAAGGCUAGAGUAUGUCAGAGGGGGGUAGAAUUCCACGUGUAGCAGUGAAAUGCGUAGAGAUGUGGAGGAAUACCGAUGGCGAAGGCAGCCCCCUGGGACGUCACUGACGCUCAUGCACGAAAGCGUGGGGAGCAAACAGGAUUAGAUACCCUGGUAGUCCACGCCCUAAACGAUGUCAACUAGUUGUUGGGGAUUCAUUUCUUCAGUAACGUAGCUAACGCGUGAAGUUGACCGCCUGGGGAGUACGGUCGCAAGAUUAAAACUCAAAGGAAUUGACGGGGACCCGCACAAGCGGUGGAUGAUGUGGAUUAAUUCGAUGCAACGCGAAAAACCUUACCUACCCUUGACAUGCCACUAACGAAGCAGAGAUGCAUUNGGUGCCCGAAAGGNAAAGUGG
rnacentral:rRNA from 1 species